GGGGUUUAACUGAAGAGGCCAGAGUAGCGAAUUUAUCUGUUUCGUAUUUGACGCUUCUGGAGUUUUUGAUUAGCACGUAAUCUCUGCAAUUGGACGAACCAAACGCUCUUUGGGCUUGCUCUGAUCUAUGGAUAUCGAUCAGCCUCCAGUUCUGCUAUUUUUUCCAACUCAGUGACCAAAGCUUACAGCUGCCAAUCCUUCUGAAGCCAACCUCGCAUAUCUUUAGCAAAGGCUGCAGUUUGAGCAGUCUACUACAGAGAGAGAUGCCGCACUAGAAAAGCAGCGCCUGGACCUCCAAGAAAAAAAACUCGCACUUUAGCAGGAGAAACUAAAGCAGCAUAUUGCUGAAUGGAAAACCCAAGUAGAUCUUGCUGAAGGAAGAAGGCUCCUAAAGAAGAACUUGCUGCAGAACACUGGGAGCACAGAACGGCGAUCACUUCGUAAGUGUCUGUGCCAACAAUGCGGCUGGUGACGACAGAAAGGAGGGGCCUUUGAUUUACCUGCAUCAUUUUUGCAGCCUAAAAAUCUCACCGAAGGAGAAAAUUUUCAAUUCCUACGACAAGUCCCACGUCGCUUUCCUCCAUCUCGCC